GUCACCUGUGAUGAGACGCCUCCUCCUUUUGUUUUAUUUUGGCUGGACUUCCUGUGUUUCUUUGUUUGCCUGGUCUGGCUUUACUCUCUUCCAGAGCUUCCUCCCCUCCCCCGGUCACUGAGGUUGAGUGAGACUACACACCUGCUCUACAUCUACAAUCAAGGCACUUUAAGAAGCCUGCAGCCCUCAGUCUCAGCACCUGAGUAUUGUCUUCACUCCCAAGUGGUACAGGCCUCCUGGCCUCCUUUUGAAUUAGUAUUUGUAACUCUGCUCCUUGUGAUUUCUUACAUGCCUCCUCACUUCCCUCUCCUCUGUUUUCCCUGCAGUGUCUCCAGCCCACACGACAACCAGCCUACCAGAC